CGACCGCGUUUAGCAGCUCGUUUCCUUCGCUGAUUUAUACCUACCAAUUGCCCGGAAUGUUAUAUCCAUACCACCAGUUGCUAGGGAUGUCAAAAAAGCAGUUUCUGAAAUACAACGUAAAUGUUAGGUAGUACUAGCCAAACUAACAACCUGUCAAUGGUCAAUUAUCCGCGGAUAACGCUGCGAUGAAAUAAUAAUAAUAAUAACUUUGUAGUAAUUUCUCUAUCUCCACCACAAGUUGCAUAAGCUUAGACAGUUAGACGAAAUCGAUAAAAAUCUUCAAACAGAUUUGAAUUCACCACGGAGGCCGAUAUGAUAAAAUUCACUUCAUUUUUAUUUUUAUCUCAUAAAAUUGUACAAAAGUAAAUUAAAAAUUUUAUUCUGUUAUAAUUACAUAAUCAUUUUUAAAUAAAACAAAUCUUUUUGUUCAUAUCACCAUUACUGGCAUUACUAAUUAACAGAAAUAAAA